UCUUGGAGUUGGCUUCCCACAGAGGUAUAGGAUGAUUAAGUUCCAGCCAUUGCUAUGGCACUCUACAUUUGUGUGAUAGAGCCAUGAGUGUUCUACUUAUGAUGGAUAUGUGCUGCCGAAGUGAGCACGCCGGUAUAUUGUUAAAGUAACUUUAUAAGGCUGGAAGUUGUACAUCAUUACGGUAAAUGUAACGAUGGCUCUGGAUACGGCUACCACUGAUAAUAUUGACUCAGUUUAUGCUACUGAGGGUGUCUUUUUUGCUUUAUUUUCUAAUGUUCCAAAUGGAAACUGUACCCAGCCCCUCUCAAAAAGCUUAGUUUGCCACAAAGGCUGUUGAGCUGAAUUUGAUCCUUCCAUCCAUGUGAAGGAGAAAGAAAACCAACUGGGGAAGCCAAGAACUGUGUUUGAAGACUCAUCUAACCUCAGUUCCAAACCAAUAGAAUGACUGAGGCCCUUGUUCAUGUACCACUUAAAUUGGUUCUGCUUUGAAAAUGGUGCUGGGUCUAUGCUUCACCAACCUCUCCAGGUGACAGGAGCUCAUUUUCACAAUGGCAGAGACUUGCCCAUCCUUCAAACCCCAUUCUGUCAGAACAUCCAGACCCAAGGAGGUAGGAUCCAUACAGCUCCAGGCCAAAGCAAGAGACUGGGACUACAUGCCUAUUCCCCUGCAAGAGAUGGCAUUACUUUUGGAUUCUCUCAUUUGUGCAGUCUUCCAGAAGAACAAAGAGUGCUGUGAUCUGAUUUGAGGCAAAAAUCUCAAAUGGCAAAUAGGAGACAUCAUUGAGCUGUAUAUAUCCUUAGGAAAUGAAAGAUGAUUGAGAAGAAGACCCCCAUAUGAAUGAGAUGCUAAAGAUUUACAGGAUAUGUCUCGAAGCACAGAAAAAAAUGACAAUCAAAUUUCAUAAAAUCAUCAGCCAAAAAUAUUGAAAUUUUUGUGCAAAUAUGAAAUGAAGCUUAGUGAUCUAAGAUUUUCUUUGAUAUGCAUGAAAAUCACCUGAUGGAUUGAUGGAUGGAAUGACAGAUGGGAAGGUGCAUAAACAUGUGUCAAAGCAAAUAUGUUAAAGUGACAAAUGAAGAAGCACAUUGGUGUAUAUGUGUACGAGUUAUGGAAUUCAUUCAACUUUUCCAUAGUUUUUCAUUUUUUUAUAGUAACACAUUUGUGUAUGACACCAAGUACUGACCAGGAUUCAGUACAUUUUCAGUGUAGACAUAUUUCCAGGCAAAUGUCUGAUACAAUGAUGAGGGUGCCCGUUGCACAAUGGUAGCACAGAAGAGGAAGUUUUGGGGCCAAUAAGAUAUAUCAGACUAGAGGUGCUUAUCAUAGCAAUGGAAACCCAAUAACAAAGAGAUAUGUAUUUCCAAUAUGCUCUUUUCUACAUGGAUGGACCAAGCUGUUUGGAAACAUGUGGAGUUCAUUAGGAGAUCAGAAUGAAUAUGUCCUAGGAGAUAUCUUAAGGUUUCUGAAAAGGAAUGGGUAACUCUCCUGGAAAUAUUCGAGACCACAUUUCUUGUAAGAAUAUGACUGCCAGCACUACCAAGGGGAGUAUAUCUCAUGAGAAUAGGUGUUUUUUAUUAGAGCUAAGAGAGGGGCAAAAUUGUCAUAUUACAAAUAUUAGUGUAGAUAUAGAUUUUCCUUGGAUUCUGCAUGUGGAUAUAUUAUAUAAAGAUACAGUCAUUAAUUCAAAUAUGUCUGUAGUCUCGAGAGCAAUAAAGAAAACACACACACACACUACAAGUCGAGCUUCAUUUAUCUCUUUUAGAGUGUGUGUUGAUACUCUAAUUAAACAGUUAGUGCAGGAGCUCACAGUAGUCUUGAGCUGAGGGAUAAGGUAAAUAAAUGCAUUUUCCCCUCUAUCAUCCAGCAUUUCACAUGACUCCUAUAUUAUUGUUAUCUUCAUUCCUCAGAAGUAGCUAAAGAAAUCUUCAGAGAAUGCAUAACCCUCGGGGAAUUUUAUGUGUGAUUUAUACCUUUGUUUGUCAUUUACUAAUUGCAAGACUCUUUUCCCAUCUGAAAUGUUCUGGUCGACAGCAAAGUUUGGAUCCAAAGUGGCUGAUUUAUACUUUUGAAAAGAGAAGAAAAUAUGUGAGGGAAAUGACAACUUAGCAUUGUUCAGCAUUCACUCAAUUGGGGACCAAUUGAUUCCGAUGCAAUUGAACUGAAUACACAAAUGGACUGGGCCUAACAUGGCUUAUAGGAGCACAUUUGGAAAAAAAAUGUGUCUCUGUGUAUUGAAAACCCUUUAGUGCAAGGUAGGGGUUCUCAGCCUCUUUCAAUCCCUGACCCUACAUUCAGGCACACUCAACCAGCCAUCUUCAGAUAUGCCGAAGACUCUUUUGUUCUCCCUGCUCUUGGAAAGAUCUGCUCACAGAAUCCUACAGUGAGACACAGGGGAUGUCAUGGGAAUUAGCACAAAGGUUACAGGGUGCUCCUGACACAUGAAGAGGUCCUCACUGCACGUGACAGAACAAAUCCACUUCAACAGAAGGGAGGUCAGCUCCUAGCAAUGGGUUCCAGGCCCGUGACACCUUGUGCCCUGGCAAGUUGCACCCCAAGGACCCUGAGAUUGAGAAUCCUGAUGUCAGUGGCACCAGCUCUCAGGCUCUGGCCCUUGUCAUGGUCCCACAGCAUGGGUUUAAUUGCCGUUCAAGCAACACUUUGCAGCUGGCAACCCCAAGUGUCUGGGAUGAGUCUCCAUUCUUCCAAGGCAACUCAGGCUUUUGAAGACACGCAGGAUUGUCUAUCAGUGACGAAUACUUCAACAUAUAUCAGAUGGAAAUUGUUUAGGCAUUCAUUUUGACUUCCUGCCUCCUUCCCUUCAUUAAUGUAUUUAUUCAUGCAUUUUCUUUUCCAAAUAGGAUUUCUUCUGAGAAUUAAGUCUAGCACCUGCAGCAUCUCCGCAUUUCAACACAGUCAGCAUUCAAAUAUCUCCACUGCAAUACGUUUGGAAGACAUGAUAACAAACAACCUAUUUAAGAACUUCAUUAAACAAUCACUUUAUUAAUGGUGGCAAGAAUAUUAAUAAAAAGAGCAACAAUGUAUAUAAAAAUCACCUCCAAACAUAACAAAAAUUAUUAAAGUAAAUAGAUAAGAUAGACAACAUUGCCAACUUUUGCUACGAUGGACUACAAUACGAAACUGAAAAUUAAAUGAAACCCUUUCUCACCACAGUUAAGGAGAUAAUUAAUUUGCCAUACAAUUUCAGAAAUGUUAGUCCAUCACAGAGAGGAGAUAGUGAUGGAGCGGAGCGGCUUACACAGUGACAGCCAUGAAGCAGAGACAGCGCUAUACAGCAGGGGUACUGGUCAUGCAACAGCUCGUCAGGACAAGCUCCCUGGUGAUACAUUUUCAUCACUAGCGUCACAUCUUCCACAGUUCACCACAUUGCAAUAAUGACAUCCUAUCAGGAAUCAACCAGGAGACUAAUCCAUUGAAUAGAUACUGAUAUAAUUCUCUCUGGAGAAUCGAUCACAGACAAAUCCAGGAUGGUUCUUACAUAAUCUACGUGAUUCUCAGUCCAAACAAGCUGAGGAUCAAAUUGAACCAUCAAACCACAGCUGAACAAGCGUGGCCAGAAGACGCUCACCAUAGAAACAUCCAGCCUUGGUAUUUUCAUCCUCUUAACUGAGCAUGUGCAUUUCCGGCAGGAGUAGACCAUCUUCCAGGUUUAUCUUUGCUAAUGCAUUAGCCUAGUAAUUUUUCCAAAGGUGUAAAACAGUUUUUUUCCCCCAGAAUCUUUGUCAGCAGCUAUUUGAGACAGACAGGGAGUGCCAAUUGCCCUUGGAAGGCAUAAGGUAUUAUUUGACAUAUAAUCCUAACCAGGGCAGUUGAGAGUACCCCAGGGCCCCAGUACUGUCAGUUUCAUUGGCAGGUGAGCUGAUUAUUUGAGGGAAUUUCACUCACCUGAUCUCCUAUUAGCUCUGCUUCACAAACCAGAGCAUGUGUUAUAUUUAGUGUGAUGGUGACCCUGCUGCAGUACGUACGUACAUUAAGGAUACCUAAUUAUGGUUGAUGGACUUACUCAGUUGCUAAGGGAGUGAGACAUGAUAGGGAUUUAUGACAAUAAAUUAUUUAAUAACAAGAGACCAUGGUAUUUUUUUUGAUACCAGUAACUAGUGACUUAAACAAUCCAGGAUUGAAAGUUGAAACAUAUCAUCAUUUUAGAAGCCAUUUAUGAAAGAACUAGGAAUUCAUAUACAUAUUUGGCAAAUUCUCAGCUCAUUUUGACCCAAUAUAUUUCCAGAAACGUGUCAAUUAAAAAAUAUGUCCUUUGGAACAGAGGAUAGGAAUACAGAUUCCAAGAUAAUAAAUACUGGGAGAGGGAGGUCAGAAUCCUGACUUCCAGCUGGCAUGACUGAGGUGGUUAUAAUUGAGAAAAAUAAAAACUGGAAUUAGGCAGCCAUGCCAUAAAAGCAAGCUGCUCCCCUUCUACAGGGAGGCUGGUGUGUCUCAGAAUCCACCUUUUUAACUAUU
rnacentral:lncRNA from 1 species